ensembl:snRNA U6 U6 spliceosomal RNA
CAACUGGCUUGGUUUUUGGUACCACAAACUGAAAAGAGAAAAUGAAGCUCAACAUGGUCCUUGCACAAGAAGGACACACAAAUUCAUGAAGCAGUUUAUAUUUUU